UCUCGAUUGACCAGGAACAGAGGAGCUGUCGGUCGUUCUCAUCCCCUCUCUCGCACGCAGGGUCGAACGCAGGUGACGACGGCGGCUACUGGAUGGCGGCGGCGGCCCUGACCACAUAACUCAGAUGAGCUAGGUGUUGAAGACUCCUGAACCGGAGAGAGGUGAUCACUACGACGGCUUCGACUUUCCUCCUUUGUUUGUUCCCAAGCCGAGGCCGCCUCCUCUGCUGCUGGUCUUCACAUUAACUAUUAGAGUAGCUCGUUAUGUCUACAAGCUUGACGAUGGAAGCGAGCAAGUUGUUGCCUUCGGCAUUGGCUGAUGAGGUAACACAUGCAGCACCACAACUUGAUGUGGCUGUCACUCCAACAAGGCACAUGAUCACUAUGCCAGCGAGUCUCCAAGGACGUCCCAAUCCAGUGACAAGAAGGAUGUUGGCCAUGGCAUAGGCUGAUGAGGCGUCGCAGAAACCUACCCCAACCGUGGAGGACACCAUGAUAGCAUAUGACAUGGCCUCAAGCUCAAAAGCUAGAAUGUCGACCCCGAAGAGAAGGAAGUACUAGUGUUGUGCUUGAUCUUCUCUAUAGUUUUGGUUGUAAUAUGACAAACUUAGCAUCCUUUACUUUGGAUGUAACAUGCCAGCAGCUAUUGUUUGUAACAUGGCAACUACUAUGGCCUUGUGCUUUUGUUUGUAAAACAUGACAGCAAUUAUGGCCUUAUGGUAGAUGGUAUAUAAACAUGUUAAAUGCUUUAUUUCGCUA